rnacentral:rRNA from 1 species
AUUGAACGCUGGCGGCAGGCCUAACACAUGCAAGUCGAGCGAGCGGCGGACGGGUGAGUAAUGUCUGGGAAACUGCCUGCUGUAGGGGGAUAACUACUGGAAACGGUAGCUAAUACCGCAUACCAUCAGAUGUUCCCAGAUGGGAUUAGCUGGUGGGUGGGGUAAUGGCGCACCUAGGCGACGAUCCCUAGCUGGUCUGAGAGGAUGACCAGCCAAACGGGAAUUGAGCAACGGCCCAGACUCCGACGGGAGGAAGAAGGGGGGAAUAUUGCACAAUGGGCGAAAGCCUGAUGCAGCCAUGCCGCGUGUGUGAAGCAGGCCUUCGGGUUGUAAAGCACUUUCAGCGGGGAGGCGUUACCCGCAGAAGAAGCACCGGCUAACUCCGUGCCAGCAGCCGCGGUAAUAC